rnacentral:lncRNA from 1 species
GUGGUCAACUAAUCUAAACAAACUGCAAUUAAUGAAGAAAGAGAAGGAGGAUGGGCACGGGACCGUGCCCGAGCUACUGUUUAGGCUAUAAAUAGGGGUGCUUGGCUCUUUUGCAAACCAUCCCUUGGCACACCACCUCUCUCACACUUCACCGACCCACUACCACCGUCACAACACCAUCAUCCACCACCAUCAUCCAACAUCCAUCAUAGAGUGUGUGAGUCAUCUCGGGAUCCAAGAUUGAUUGUAAGAGUUCUUGACAAUCAAAGGCCAUGUUUGCCUAAGUCUCUUACAUCACUUGGUGAAGAAAAGUGUCUAGUGUAAUACUUUUUAUUUUUAAUUUUUCACACUUUUUAUUUAGUUAUGUAUUAAUGACUUUAAUAACUAGUUUCUUAUGUUGAAGGUGAUUCUUCCUUAUCGUUUGCCAUGGUGUCUUGGCAUUAUUUUACUGUCUAUAUAAAAUAAAAGAUUUUCACCAUUCAUAUCUUUUAGGCCCUAAAGUGUGAGACUGACGCAUCAAAUUGAUACAACGGGCUAUGGUUACGAAUUGGGAUUUACCGGGUUAGUUUAUAUUGGGUUGUGGACCUUUAUAGGUCACUUGGGCCAAGCUUUAGGCCAUGUGGGCCAAGCAGGCCCAAGGGGAGACCAUGUAGGGACUUGGGCUUGAGUUAGUAUAUAAACAAGUUUACAACUUGUUUUAGGGUUUGAACCUUUGGAACUUCAUUGUUACAGAAUUCCUAGAGAGAGAGCUAGAGGAUUCGAUUGGUGGUGUGUCAACUUGUACCAGACGUUUUGAUUUCAUAGUAAUAGAAUGUUUUAUCGUGUUUAAUCUUGAAUCAUCUUGUGAUUGGAUUCCGUACUUUCACAAGAUUAGGUUUGAUAUCAUUGAAAGAUCCGUUUCACGGGACUUACAUAUCUCCACGGUCUAUAUGGAGAUAUGUUGGCUACCUAGUCGGGGGUUAAGGGAACGGUUAGGUAAGAGUCUUGCCUUGUUCAGUGUAUAGAUCCUACAAGGACCUGGGUCAAAUUUAGUAGGACCUCCUUCAAUACCCACCGGUAUUGGGUGGCGGGGGUCCAAACUCUUUGAUCCCCUCAUAUUUAAGCUACUAUUAAAACUUUAACCCGGCUGUUUAGGAUUGUAUCCCUGCUGACUCAGACUACUUAGCCGAGGGUAAUGUCACCUUCAAAAGAGGGGCUACCACAUUAUGCAUUAAUAAGUUAAUUAAUUAUCUUUCAAUAAUCCGACCCUUUAGGAUUGUAUCCUUGAUGACUCAAACUACUGGGUUGAGGGUAACGUCACCUUCAAAAGAGGGGCCUACUACAAUAACUAAGAUAAUCUCUUAAAAAGUGCAAAAGUGCGGAAAUAAUCAAAGGUUACACUACACACGAGUCGGAUCCAAGUGAUUCAUCCUGUCUAUCUGAUUUUAUUUUAUUUUAUUUUUCAACAUUUUAGUUAGUUUUAUUUUUCUAGUUUAAAAACCUUUUUCUAACUUUUGAUUUGAUUAGACGUUGAGGAUAAACCGGUACUAAAAGCUCUUGUGUCCUUGGACGACAUCGGUAUCUUACCAACACUAUACUACGCUCACGAUGGGUGCACUUGCCCAUAUGUGUGCUUAGUGUUAGUAAAUAUCGUGUUUUAUAAAUUUAGAACUUGGCUAAUAAGUGUAAAAGGGCUUAAAAUAUACAUUAAAAAUAUAGCACACUAAACGCACAUCACUGAACAUGGAAUAACAGGCAAAAUCCUGUUUUUUUAUGAAUAAAAGCAUUAAAAUGUUUUCAGAAAAUCAAAACUCC